rnacentral:rRNA from 1 species
GUUGUCCGGAAUCAUUGGGCGUAAAGCGCGUGUAGGCGGCCCGGUAAGUCCGCUGUGAAAGUCGGGGGCUCAACCCUCGAAUGCCGGUGGAUACUGUCGGGCUAGAGUGCGGAAGAGGCGAGUGGAAUUCCUGGUGUAGCGGUGAAAUGCGCAGAUAUCAGGAGGAACACCAAUUGCGAAGGCAGCUCGCUGGGACGUAACUGACGCUGAGACGCGAAAGCGUGGGGAGCAAACAGG